rnacentral:rRNA from 1 species
GACGAGCCUCACAAACGUUAUUCGGAAUUACUGGGCUUAAAGGGUGCGUAGGCGGCGCGGACAGUUGGGUGUGAAAUCCCUCGGCUCAACCGAGGAACUGCGCCCAAAACUACCGUGCUCGAGGAAGAUAGAGGUGAGCGGAGCUUACGGUUGAGCGGUGAAAUGCGUUGAUAUCGUAAGGAACACCCGUGGCGAAAGCGGCUCACUGGGUCUUUUCUGUCGCUGAUGCACGAAAGCUAGGGGAGCAAACGGG